UUUAGGGCAGAGAGACAGGUGGUGCAUGGUUGUCGUCAGCUCGUGUCGUGAGAUGUUGGGUUAAGUCCCGCAACGAGCGCAACCCUUAAAUUUAGUUGCCAUCAUUUAGUUGGGCACUCUAGAUUGACUGCCGGUGACAAACCGGAGGAAGGUGGGGAUGACGUCAAAUCAUCAUGCCCCUUAUGAUUUGGGCUACACACGUGCUACAAUGGACAGGUUACAAAGGGCAGCGACGCCGCGAGGCCAAGCGAAUCCCAUAAAACUGUUCUCAGUUCGGAUUGGAGUCUGCAACUCGACUCCAUGAAGCUGGAAUCGCUAGUAAUCGUAGAUCAGCAUGCUACGGUGAAUACGUUCCCGGGUCUUGUACACACCGCCCGUCACACCACGAAAGUCGAUAACACCUGAAGCCGGUGGGCCA
rnacentral:rRNA from 1 species